UCGCGAAUAAACGUUUUUCCCGUUGACGAGCGUGCACAAAUGCACUUAAAUAUGUAUAAAUUUAACGCCAGUGUGUGGGUGCGCGGAAUGCAUCUUGAAAAUUGGAAUGAAAUGACGAGAAAGAGCGCAUAACUGCCAGUGUUGAAAAGAGCUUCAGUUCGGUACGAACUUCAGUACCUAAAACUGGUACAAACAUGGUACCUUGACGUAUAUACAAGUUAGCUAAGAUAUUGGUUUUUAUUUAUCGCUUAGAAUGCUUCUAAAUAUGUUUCGUACGUGCGUUCCUUAAGACAAUGUGUGUAAAUCGGAGUUUAUAAAAUUGUUAUCCCAAAACUUAACUUUUUAAUAAAACAAAAAUGUAAGCAUUA